rnacentral:rRNA from 1 species
UACGUAGGGGGCAAGCGUUGUCCGGAUUUACUGGGCGUAAAGGGCGCGUAGGCGGCGCAACAAGUCAGGCGUGAAAGCCCCGGGCUCAACCUGGGAGGUGCGCUUGGGACUGUUGUGCUUGAGUUCGGGAGAGGAGAGUGGAAUUCCCAGUGUAGAGGUGAAAUUCGUAGAUAUUGGGAAGAACACCGGUGGCGAAGGCAGCCCCCUGGGUCGACACUGACGCUCAGGCACGAAAGCGUGGGGAGCAAACAGG